rnacentral:rRNA from 1 species
GUGAGGGAUAUUGGUCAAUGGACGGAAGUCUGAACCAGCCAUGCCGCGUGAAGGAUUAAGGCGUUCUGCGUUGUAAACUUCUUUUGUCUGGGGCGAAAACAUUCUUUUCCAAGAAUCUUGACGGUACCAGAAGAAUAAGCACCGGCUAACUCCGUGCCAGCAGCCGCGGUAAUACGGAGGGUGCAAGCGUUAUCCGGAUUUACUGGGUUUAAAGGGUGCGUAGGUGGAACUUUAAGUCAGUGGUGAAAUGUCAGCGCUCAACGCUGAGACUGCCCUUGAUACUAUGGUUCUUGAAUUAUGUUGAGGUAUGCGGAAUACAACAUGUAGCGGUGAAAUGCAUAGAUAUGUUGUAGAACCCCGAUUGCGAAGGCAGCAUGCUAAACAAGGAUUGACACUGAAGCACGAAAGCGUGGGGAGAGAACAGGAUUAGAAACCCUAGUAGUCC